rnacentral:SRP_RNA from 1 species
CCCUCGGCUUUACGUGACGUACGCCUGCUAACCCCGUCAGAUCUGGAAGGAAGCAGCGGUCCGUGGAAACGGCGUGUCGUGAAACCCCGGGGGGCU